rnacentral:lncRNA from 1 species
GGGAAAUGUCAUCUCCAGUUAGGUGGCCCCUGUCCAGCUAUAACUCCAUAACUAACAGCAGGAGGGAACAGAUUUUGGUGGAUCACGAGCAAUUUCUGCUGUGCAUGUCCUGGGCCAUAUGACCAUCACAAGAUGGGGUGUUGAAGCCGCUGAGUCAAGAAGUUUUAGGAACCCAGUGCCUCCCGUAAUCUGAAAGAGCAGCCUGAGGUUGGACACUUGAGGCAUGAAAGGUUGUCAGUGAAGAGGAAGGUGACGAUUUCACCUAAACAGGACAUUAUGAAACAUCUCAGGUCGCACCACCUCCCCUGCCUACAUUUGUGACCAAGUCUGAGAGAAGCCAUGUCAGCUGGGACUCUGCAAGCCGGGCGGCCUGUGGCAUUCCUGCUCUGCCCUUGAAUGGAAAACUCACCUGGCAUUUGAGUGUGUUGAUUGAGAUUCUGCCGGCCUCUGGCUCGUGCUCAGGAAAACCCCCUUCUCAUUACAGCCCAGCUUGGUUUCACGGAGGGGGCUAGAGAAAGUUCCAUCAACUGGAGCCAUGCGGCUACUGCAGAGCGAAAACCGGCAGGGCUUCUGUUUGACCCCUGGCUCUUGAAAACCACGCCA